GAUGAACGCUGGCGGCGUGCCUAAUACAUGCAAGUCGAGCGAACAGACGAGGAGCUUGCUCCUCUGACGUUAGCGGCGGACGGGUGAGUAACACGUGGAUAACCUACCUAUAAGACUGGGAUAACUUCGGGAAACCGGAGCUAAUACCGGAUAAUAUAUUGAACCGCAUGGUUCAAUAGUGAAAGACGGUUUUGCUGUCACUUAUAGAUGGAUCCGCGCCGCAUUAGCUAGUUGGUAAGGUAACGGCUUACCAAGGCGACGAUGCGUAGCCGACCUGAGAGGGUGAUCGGCCACACUGGAACUGAGAUACGGUCCAGACUCCUACGGGAGGCAGCAGUAGGGAAUCUUCCGCAAUGGGCGAAAGCCUGACGGAGCAGCGCCGCGUGAGUGAUGAAGGUCUUCGGAUCGUAAAACUCUGUUAUUAGGGAAGAACAAAUGUGUAAGUAACUAUGCACGUCUUGACGGUACCUAAUCAGAAAGCCACGGCUAACUACGUG
rnacentral:rRNA from 1 species